rnacentral:rRNA from 1 species
GACGAACGCUGGCGGCGUGCUUAACACAUGCAAGUCGAACGAAGUGGCGAACGGGUGAGUAAUACGUGGGUACCCUGCCUUCCUUUUUGGGAUAAGCCUUGGAAACGGGGUCUAAUACCGAAUAAAGGGGGAUGGGCUCGCGGCCUUUCAGCUGGUUGGUGGGGUGAUGGCCUAUCAAGUCGGUGACGGGUAGCCUGCCUGAGAGGGUGACCGGCCACCUAGGGACUGGGAUGAGGCCCAGACUCGUACGUGAGGCAGCAGUGGGGGGUAUUGCACAAUGGGCGAAAGCCUGAUGCAGCGACGCCGCGUGGGGGAUGAAGGCUUUCGGGUUGUACACCUCUUUCACUAUCGGACGGGUAGGUGGAGAAGAAGCGACGGCUAACUACGUGCCAGCAGCCGCGGUAAUUC